rnacentral:rRNA from 1 species
UACGAAGGGGGCUAGCGUUGCUCGGAAUCACUGGGCGUAAAGCGCACGUAGGCGGAUUGUUAAGUCAGGGGUGAAAUCCUGGAGCUCAACUCCAGAACUGCCUUUGAUGCUGGCGAUCUUGAGUCCGGGAGAGGUGAGUGGAACUGCGAGUGUAGAGGUGAAAUUCGUAGAUAUUCGCAAGAACACCAGUGGCGAAGGCGGCUCACUGGCCCGGUACUGACGCUGAGGUGCGAAAGCGUGGGGAGCAACA